rnacentral:rRNA from 1 species
UACGUAGGGUGCAAGCGUUAAUCGGAAUUACUGGGCGUAAAGCGUGCGCAGGCGGUUGUGUAAGACAGAUGUGAAAUCCCCGGGCUCAACCUGGGAACUGCAUUUGUGACUGCACAGCUGGAGUGCGGCAGGAGGGGAUGGAAUUCCGCGUGUAGCAGUGAAAUGCGUAGAUAUGCGGAGGAACACCGAUGGCGAAGGCA